UACGAAGGGGGCUAGCGUUGCUCGGAAUCACUGGGCGUAAAGCGCACGUAGGCGGACUCUUAAGUCGGUGGUGAAAUCCCGGAGCUCAACUCCGGAACUGCCUUUGAUACUGGCGAUCUAGAGAUCGAGAGAGGUGAGUGGAAUUCCGAGUGUAGAGGUGAAAUUCGUAGAUAUUCGGGAAGAACACCAGUGGCGAAGGCGGCUCACUG
rnacentral:rRNA from 1 species